rnacentral:lncRNA from 1 species
GCCAGAGCAGGCAGGGAGCUGUGCUCUGACUGUUGGAGAUCAGGAAAAGGCAAAUCCUUGGAAAAACCACUUUUCCAGUGAAUUGGAGCUGGAUGCUGUUUGCCUGUUAGCAGCUCAGUGUGUGUCAACCCCAUAUUCCAAGUCAUGGUGUUCUCUGAGGUGAAAUACUCAUGGCAUUGUGGCUAUAACUUGGAAAACCUGACCAAACCACUGCAGAUACCCUGCAAGAACUGGGAGCUGUAGAAACUGGGUCCUGGUCAUUCUGGGAUGGAUGGAGGGAGGAGUUGAGCUCACUCCAAUAGGAGCAGGUUGAUGCUGCUGGGAGAACUGGGAUUGUGGAGGUUUGAUAGAGCCUUGGAGGGCUGGAAUGGGGCUUGGAAACCAAUGGAGUAAAAUAAGAUAAAAACCACCUUUCAGAAAGAAACUCUGAGUCUGAGAGCCUCGAGGCACAAACUGGAUCCAUUUCCUUUAAAUGCUUGAACUUGAAGCUCCUGAAAGAGGGGUAAAGUAUCCAGGAGGAAUGAGGAACAUGUUAAAUUGGAGAUAGACAUCUAAAAGGCAGAGCCCUCCUGAAGCAGAUUUUCCUGCUGGGAUCACUGCACCCAGCCAGCUGAUCUGUCGGGGGACUGUCCAGUGGAAAGGCACAAAAUAUGUGGAAGCAGUUCCCAGAAAGGAUGGGAAAUCAGUCCUCUUCUCGUUCAUCCACCUACUCCGGGUCCGGCUCCUCCCGCUCGCGCUCCAGGUCCUCCUCCUACAGCUCCUACUCCAGUCGCUCCUCCAGGCACAGCUCUUUCUCAGGCAGCAGGUCCAGGUCAAGGUCCUUCUCAUCUUCUCCCUCUCCUUCUCCAACACCAUCUCCUCACAAGCCACUGGCCAAGGCUAAAGGGGACCUAUUGCCACCUCCUGGGAAAGGGGAGAAAUCUGUGAAGAAACUCACUGCCCUCCCAGUCCCUCAGCCACUCACAAAAAUUACAGCAGCAGCCCCGGAGGCAGCCAAGGCAGGGGAUAAUCGGGAAGCAAGGAGGAAGGAACGUCAGACAAGGACUCCACCCAGGAGGAGGACCAUCAGUGGCAGCAUCAGUGGCAGUGCCAGCAGCUACAGCGGCUCCAGCUCCCGAUCCAGGUCCCUGUCCCGGUCUCUCUCCAGAUCUCAUUCCAGAUCAUCCUCUGCCUCAGUCUCCCACUCUCCCUCUGGCUCAAGGAAAUCCAGGUCCCUGAGCGUGAGCAGCGUCUCCUCCGUGUCCAGUGCCUCGUCCAGCAGCAGCUCCGUGCGCAGCGCCGACUCCGAGGACAUGUACGCGGACCUGGCCAGCCCCGUGUCCUCGGCCAGCUCCCGCUCCCCCACCCCNNNNNNNNNNNNNNNNNNNNUUUGGAGAGGAAGGGAGGAGCAGGGAUCUUUCCCUGGGAGUUCUGUGGGCUCUGGGAAAAUCCUGGAGCAGAGGUGA